GAUGAACGCUAGCGGCAGGCCUAAUACAUGCAAGUCGUACGGCAACUACAGUUGCGAGCAAUCGCAACCGGUGGCGAGUGGCGCACGGGUGAGUAACGCGUAUGUAACCUACCCUUCUCCGGGACAUAACUCCGCGAAAGCCGGUGCUAAUAUCCCAUACCAACUCAUCAAGACAUCUUCUUGAGUUGAAAGCAGCAAUGCGGUGAAGGAUGGGCAUGCGUCCCAUUAGCUGGUUGGUGAGGUAAUGGCCCACCAAGGCUACGAUGGGUAGGGGUUCUGAGAGGAAAGCCCCCCCACACUGGUACUGAGACACGGACCAGACUCCUACGGGAGGCAGCAGUAAGGAAUAUUGGGCAAUGGUCGAAAGACUGACCCAGCCAUGCCGCGUGCAGGAUGAAGGCCCUAUGGGUUGUAAACUGCUUUUAGCCGGGAAUAAACACCCGUUUUAUAACGGGCCCGAAGGUACCGGCUGAAUAAGCAUCGGCUAACUCCGUG
rnacentral:rRNA from 1 species